AAAGUUCAGGAUUCACAGGGCAAGUCAGGGCACUGUCUACUCGGGAGUAAACGCCACUCUGGCGAAGGGAGGCUUGCUCCCAGAACUUGAGGAUGUUUGCAAUUGGAUUUCAUAAUGAUCAAGAUGGCUGUCUUGCUUCAGCACUCCGGUCAGCGACAUCAUACAGCGUCAUGUCACAGGAGGGGCUAUUGUGUAAAUGCAUAUCCUCCAAUAUUUUUGCAAACCAUAACUAGCUUUAUAAAUUUGGUGAAGUAACAUAGAAGUCCAACAAUAAACAUAUUGGGGAAACUGU